CCCCUGGCCCGUGGCAGCAGGGAGAUUGCCAAAACUGAAACCAGUGUACAGUUGAAAGCUGAACAAAACAACAUUUAUUCCAAAGAAAGUAGCAAACAAAAUGAGAAUCCGAGAGAGAGAAAAGAGAAAGGAAACAA